UGAUAGUACUGUAUAUAUACUGGAAUGCAACGUCUGCCAUUCAGUGUCAGGAAAGGAGACUCAAUCAAAAUGUUCAAGAAAUUAUUCCUAGUUUUUCUCGUAGUUCUGAUGGCUGGAAAUAGCAUGCAACAAGGCGCUGGAGGAGGCGCAGGCGGUGAAGCUAGUGCCGGGUUCGGUUUCGGCGGUGGAGCAGGAGGUGGCGGUCAAGGUGGCGGUGGAGCUGAUGGUGGUGCAGGCGCGAACGGUGGUGCAAGCUUCGGGUUUAAUGCUGGAGUGGGAGGCAACGCCGGCGGCGGCGGCGGCAGC